UAAUUCAUAAUAAUACGUAACAAAUGAAAAACAACACAAAUAUCUCCAUUCCGUUACGUAUCAGAGAGACCCUAAGACGACGCGUGAGAGAGUCAACUCACUUCAACAACUAAUCCUGGUUAUCUGCACGUUACCCACGUAGACACAACGCGUUAGACCAAAUCCAAUGGAAAGCUAACAAAAUUAUCUAAAACUUUCAUGUUUACACCAAAGGCCAAUUCAAAACCGAAACGUGUGAAAAAGACGCAAGAACAUAAAACAGGGUAUGCUAUCACUGUGCAAUUUCGCUAAUGGCGAAAAGUUAGCUAGUAGCGAAAUUGUUACAGAGGAUUUCGCCAAUAGCGAACUUCUAGCGAGUUUUUCCCCUGCUGUUACGAUUUCUGCACAUUUUUCACCCAAAAAACCCAAAUUUCAUCUACCCAAAUCCCAAAUUUGAUAGGAAACUUAACCUAUGAUUAUUCUACAAUCUGAAUAACAAUUCUCACCAUGAUUCAUUGGAUUACAUACACUUUCAAAAAUCAAAUUGAAAUUCAAAACCUAAUUUCAUUAACAUCAUAAUUUCAAUAAUCAAUUUUAACCCGAAUUUCUAUAACAACAAAACUAACAAGGCUAAACUGCAUUUUUCACCCCCUAUGUUUCAAAAUAUUGCAAUUUUGGUCCCCUAUUAAAAAAAUAGCAAUUUUGGCCCCUUUCAUCCAAAAAUUGUUGAGAAGACGCCACAUGUCCCAAAAAAGGGGCCAUAAUCACAACUUUUUGUAAAGAUAAGGGGUCAAAAAACAUAUUUCCCUUAUGUUAGGAGGUCAAAAGAGCGUAUUUCCCUAAACAUAGGGGGUCACUUUUGCCAUUUUUUUUAAUAGGGGGUCAAAAUUGCAACAUUUUAAAACUUAGAGGGUGAAAAGUGAAGUUUAGCCAACUAACAAAACAACAUGUUAAACCCCUAUUCCAGAAUUAUAAACCUAAUUCCUAUAACAUCAAAACUAACAACAACUACAAGGUUAAACCCUUUUCAGAAUUAUACAACUCAUUAUUAGAGAAAGCUAGUCCCACCCUUACCUUAGAUUAGAUGAUCGGACUCUACAAGAUUGUUCCUCCUAUCUCACAAGAUUCUUCUCUUCUCUGACUUCUCACUUUCUCCCUUUUUCUCCCAAAAACUGUUUUCACGUAAUCCUUAUUUUCUAAUUCUAACUCUCCCCUUGUAUAUAAGUCCUUAACCUACUUAUUUUCUCUUAUUUCCAAAUCUGUCAUCCAAGUCUCAAUAUUCUAUUCUAAUAUAUAUAUAAAAUAUUUCUAUAAAAAAUAACAAAUAUAUUUAUACACCAGAUAACAUAUAUAUUUCUACACCAAAUAACAAAUAUAUUCCUACACCACAUAACAUAUAUUUCCACACCAAAUAACAUAAUAUUUCCACACCAAAUAACAUAAUAUUUCUACACCAAAUAUCAUAAUAUAUUAUACUAAUAAAUACCAACAUAUAAUAUAACAAAAUAUUACUCAUCAAAAUAAAUCGACUAAAUUAUAAAAAGACAUCUAAACUCAAUAAAAUAAAUAAAUAAUAAAAUAGGGUUUACAACAUGCAUACAAGUCUAUGUGAGAGCCGUGAUUUGAUUAUGUGAAUAUAUGUGAAGAUGUGUGCCUAAUGAUGUGUGUUCAUGUGAUAUUUGGUGAUGGUGUCGAAGCAUGAAUUAUAUAUUUUUGAUUUAGCGAUGAAGUGAUAAUGCAAUUACUUUUUAUAUCAUGUGUUUAUGAUAUGAGAUUUAAUAUGUUUGUUGAUUGACUAAGUAUGAAUGUAAUGAUGAUAGUUUAGGAAAUGAAUAUGUAUAUCCAUAUGCGAUGUUUUAAAUUCCUAAAUACUAUGCUUUUAUUCAUAUCUUUUUAUGUGAAUGUUGAUCUUACCCUCUAGUGGCAAUUUGGUCGCUUGAUCGACGUGAGUACCGGAGGAGGACUUGAGGCCUAUCCUCCUUCUUUGCUUUUGUUUUUGGAGUCUUAGUGGUUGUACUAUGAUUAGGGUGUUUGGGAGACUAUUUAUCUUUACUUUUGGAUUUUUAUGUUUUAGAGGAGCUUAGAGUUAUCUGGAUGAUGUAGUAUGAGAUGUUGAGAUGAUAACUUUAUGUUGUGACUCCGCUGCGACUGUUUUAUGAUUAUAAUGAUUUAUGACUAUUUUGGAUUUAUGAUGAAGUAGCACCUUGAACCUUUGUGAUUAUCUGUUGAUUUAUUAUUAAAUAUCGUAUUGGGGUUUGAGAGAGUUACAUGAUUGACAUUUUUUUAUACUACAACUUAGACAGUGUAUACUUGCACUAAGUUUUUCCACCUUAAAAUAUUUAGUGUUUUGGGAGACACCACAAGUGCAGAAACAAACAAAGAAAUUCAAUGACAAAGAAAAUAUAACAAGUCAUUUUAUUAGAAGCAAAGUAAUUUCAAAUGACUACUCAACGACAUUAUCUAUUUGAGGCAAUUUGAUGUGCUAUAACUUCUUCAACAACCGCUCUCUUGUUCUCUCAUAUAUAAGGACCUUAGCAGUUGAAUAAAGACAACAAGACUUAUAUCAUUUUUCACAAGUCCCUUACUCUAUUUGCCAUGAUCUUCAUUUCUCUAUUUGUUGUUGCAUUGAAUGUUGACGGUAAGCCAUUUUGUAUCAUCAAUGCAAAAUACAUAUGAUAAGAAAGAGUUCAUAUGAUUGGUCAUUUUUUUAUAUUACCUUUUUACAAAGUUUA
rnacentral:lncRNA from 1 species